UACAGAGGUCUCAAGCGUUGUUCGGAUUCAUUGGGCGUAAAGGGUGCGUAGGCGGCGCGGUAAGUCGGAUGUGAAAUCUCGGAGCUUAACUUCGAAACUGCAUUCGAUACUGCCGUGCUUGAGGACUGGAGAGGAGACUGGAAUUUACGGUGUAGCGGUGAAAUGCGUAGAUAUCGUAAGGAAGACCAGUGGCGAAGGCGGGUCUCUGGGCUGACACUGACGCUCAUGCACGAAAGCGUGGGGAGCAAACAGG
rnacentral:rRNA from 1 species